GUGGGGAAUAUUGGGCAAUGGGGGAAACCCUGACCCAGCAACGCCGCGUGAAGGAAGAAGGCUUUCGGGUUGUAAACUUCUUUUAUGAGGGACGAAGAAGUGACGGUACCUCAUGAAUAAGCCACGGCUAACUACGUGCCAGCAGCCGCGGUAAUACGUAGGUGGCAAGCGUUGUCCGGAUUUACUGGGUGUAAAGGGCGCGUAGGCGGGAUAGCAAGUCAGGUGUGAAAUCCGGGGGCUUAACCCUCGAACUGCACUUGAAACUGUUAUGCGUGAGUGAUGGAGAGGCAAGCGGAAUUCCUAGUGUAGCGGUGAAAUGCGUAGAUAUUAGGAGGAACACCAGUGGCGAAGGCGGCUUGCUGGACAUUAACUGACGCUGAGGCGCGAAAGCGUGGGGAGCAAACAGGAUUAGAAACCCUUGUAGUCC
rnacentral:rRNA from 1 species